GACGUAGGGAGCAAGCGUUGUCCGGAAUUACUGGGCGUAAAGAGCUCGUAGGCGGGAUCGUAAGUCUUAGAGUAAGUCUCACGGCUCAACUGUGGGGCCUUCUGAGAUACUGCGAUUCUUGAGGAUGUCAGAGGAAAGUGGAAUUCCCGGUGUAGCGGCGAAAUGCGUAGAUAUCGGGAGGAACACCAGUGGCGAAGGCGGCUUUCUGGGACAUUCCUGACGCUGAGGAGCGAAAGCGUGGGGAGCAAACGGG
rnacentral:rRNA from 1 species